rnacentral:rRNA from 1 species
UGUGAUAACUUCAGGAAACUGGGGCUAAUACCGGAUAGGAGCUCCUGCUGCAUGGUGGGGGUUGGAAAGUUUCGGCGGUUGGGGAUGGACUCGCGGCUUAUCAGCUUGUUGGUGGGGUAGUGGCUUACCAAGGCUUUGACGGGUAGCCGGCCUGAGAGGGUGACCGGCCACAUUGGGACUGAGAUACGGCCCAG